rnacentral:rRNA from 1 species
GUGCCAGCAGCCGCGGUAAUACGGAGGAUCCGAGCGUUAUCCGGAUUUAUUGGGUUUAAAGGGAGCGUAGGUGGACUGGUAAGUCAGUUGUGAAAGUUUGCGGCUCAACCGUAAAAUUGCAGUUGAUAUUGUCAGUCUUGAGUACAGUAGAGGUGGGCGGAAUUCGUGGUGUAGCGGUGAAAUGCUUAGAUAUCACGAAGAACUCCGAUUGCGAAGGCAGCUCACUGGACUGCAACUGACACUGAUGCUCGAAAGUGUGGGUAUCAAACAGGAUUAGAAACCCCAGUAGUCC